rnacentral:rRNA from 1 species
UACCGCUGACGACCGGCGCACGGGUGAGUAACACGUAUCCAACUUCCCAUAACUCAGGGAUAGCCUUUCGAAAGAAAGAUUAAUACCUGAUAGUACUUUUUCAAGGCAUCUUGAGAAAGUUAAAGAUUUAUUGGUUAUGGAUGGGGAUGCGUUCCAUUAGAUAGUUGGUGAGGUAACGGCUCACCAAGUCUUCGAUGGAUAGGGGUUCUGAGAGGAAGGUCCCCCACAUUGGUACUGAGACACGGACCAAACUCCUACGGGAGGCAGCAGUGAGGAAUAUUGGUCAAUGGGCGAGAGCCUGAACCAGCCAGGUAGCGUGAAGGAUGAAGGUCCUAUGGAUUGUAAACUUCUUUUAUAGUAGAAUAAAGUGAUCCACGUGUGGAUUUUUGUAUGUAUACUGUGAAUAAGGAUCGGCUAACUCCGUGCCAGCAGCCGC